rnacentral:tRNA from 1 species
GGUUGUGGCUCAGUGGUAGAGCACUUGCCUAGCAUGUGUGAGGCCCUGAGUUCAAUUCUCAGCACCA